GAAUGGCUCACAGGACUAUACCAAAAUAAAUGAAAAGUGAAAUAUGUCCGCGUUCGUCUUAAACGAGUACCUGGUGCGGUGUGUCAAUAUCAACGCUGGCCCCACGUGUGUUGUUCGGGUCUUAAUAGGUGCUCGCAAAUAGCAGGCGGGCUACAUUGUGUGGGAGGUGGUGGGGGUACUGUGUCUCUGAAUAUUCGUGCUGUGUUUGCGUGAGUGUGCAAUAUUAUUUUAAUGUAUAAAGUACUGGAUCACAUUCACUUAUUCACUAACGCUUAAAUUGGUCUCGACGCUCGUUCUCGGGAGGGUCCUGUGCUACACUUGGGAUAGUUGGCCAAUUUCAUUAUACCGUGGUGAUGAGUUUGUUGUGUGGAAGAAAAUCAGAGGACCUGGGAAAAAAACACACCAUCCAUAUACUAGGGGUUAACACCCGUAGCUUUGUACGGAUGGAUUCAUGAAUGCACGUGUUGUACUGCCAUCUGGUGACCCAGAAGCUGAGCGAGUUUGAGAAUGUCAGAUCUCUACCUUGAUCCAAUUGGUACGGAUCCAAUUGGCACAUACGGUGCAAAAGAAGUGAUACAUACAUUGUACACCAACCCUUGCAUCCAGCUCUUUAUGUGUUUAUGUACAGUAUAUUAAUUUUAAUUAUAGAAUGGACCGAGGGUUGCUCCCUUAUCCACAAACCAAACCCGGACAAAAUAAUAUCUCAGUCGCCUCAGUCUAUCAAAACUGUGCAGUUUACUUAAAUAAAGUUCAAAACAGAAUCACAAGAUCUCGGUACAAAUCAAUUCCCGCCACCAUAUGGAAAUUCCAGAGAUGUCCAGGUCAAACCAGGACUAGUGGCAACCCUAAAUGGACCAUACACUUCCAAAUAAAGCAUACAUGUAUGUGUACCACACACAACCAGUUUGGUGACUGCAUCUCUUGCAAAACAAUGUCCUUGCCAUGGUGUUAUUAGUGAGACGCAGAAAACAAAAAUAGCUUCAGGGAACACCUGGGAGGACUUGCCAUCUCAUCGCUAACCUCACCAGAGCAGUCACUGAAUAUUUAAUACCUUGCUAUGUUUGUAGCUCUUCUGACGUGUCCAUCUGUGCUCUACUUCAGAACUUCCACGAUUCGUGGUGCUGCCACCAGGUGGAGGCAUUUAAUUUUGUCUUGACGGCCCAGGGCAAGCCAUUGGACUCCUGAAUUAAGUCCACGAUAUCACCUUUCCCAAAUACAAUACAAAUUAUUUGGUGGUACUGCGUUGGCAGUGAUGGAUAAGGGCCAUUGCCUGAAACGUCGCCUAUUAUUUUUUUAUGCGGUUCUAUGCUAUUCGUGCGGGUGGCAAUGUGUUCAGGAGCUAAAUGCCACGCCUACGUUUGCUUGCCACAAGAGGGCGUCACGAGAGAGUUCGUAUCGUGUUGCUAUUCCUCCUCCGUUGAAGGAGCUCAGACUAUAGUGGUUUGCUAUAUGGUCCAUUGUUUGGCUUGCAUGGCCUCACUCGCACUAAUGUGGCCUGUAUUUAAAUUUCCAAUUAUAAAGAAGUGCCUGUUGAUGUUCUGAUGCUAUUUAUGGUUCUACCAGUGUCUUCGAGGAAUGCAAGAAGGUGUAAUGUUUGGGUCUGGAAUUAGGCGUUUAUUCUGGGCGUCCGUGUUGUUCCACUGUUCGCCAGCGUGUUAUUUUACUUUGUGUAAGGGGCCGUUAUUGGCGAAUGUGUUGAGUUUUUUUUACUACAUUAUAGUACUGUACAAAUGGAAUGUGUCUUGCGGACACAUUCAUGAACAUUAAGAUACACGUGUUGCAGGCUAUACAUGCACCGUAGAUUCUGGAUAUGAAUACACGCCUUUGGAGCAAGACCUGCCGUGGAUAUAUCCGAAGUAUGCUUGUAUCAGAAGUGACCACCAGUGUAAUGUAAGAAAAUAACUCAACAUAUUCGUCAAUAACAUUUAUAAAAGGAAAAAUAUAUAACAGGUGACAUUUUUGGCAAUAGCCAAGGCAGUGUCACCAAAUAUAAUCAGUGUAACGUAAGGAUGCGUUGCUUAGAUCAGAACAGCUUCUACCGUAGUUUACUCUUACCUGGUUAUAAACGUUAUCUAUCUAUUUAAUAACAUUAAUGCACUAUAUUUUACUGAGGAAAGCCCCUAUGAGUGUCAUAUUUAUUCAGGGUCCUGCUUAAUAGUGUUCUUCAAAUUCAUUUUAAAGGAGUAUUUAGCACGUGAGAGGAAAUUGUCGUACCCAGAGCAAACUCACACAUGGGUUCCCGAUACCACUUUAUGUGCUGCCAUCACCUGCUACAUCAGAGCCCAACGGAUUUGGGAGUGUCACUUAUCUAUGUGAUCCACCAAGCCUAACCUCAAAAGUCCUCGAUUCCAGGCUGGAUACAUUCAUGAGUGGCAUAAUAAUCCAAUAUAUUUUAGUAGAUUUGUUGGUUGUAUGGGGUAUAUGUGGGAUAUUCACCUUAUGUUAUGACUGAAUGUUACAUUUAAUAUAAACAGUUAUAUUUUUUACACAUGCUAAACUUUACUGGGCAUUCCUGCAUGUUCAGGAAUGUGGGCAAAAUUUACUAUGGUGCUGUGCCGAUUAGUUUUGUUUUAUUAUAACAGCCUUAAUUCAACCAUUACUGUGUAAUCCCCAUAUUUUUAAGGCUUUUAACAUUUUAGAGAGAGAGAAAGAUGAUUAUUUUCCUGAUUCUAAAUCUAUACAUUAUGCAAAAUGUUAAUGAAUUUGGCAAUGUUAAACAGUCACCUCACCGCUGCAUUGGCCUCUGACCAAGCCCCUGCUCCACGAACUCUAACCCCUGAAUCCUUAAACUGUUCCGUCUUCAGUAAUGUAUCAGAGAAGUUAAUUAUUUCAUAAUUUUAUCCAUAAUACCCUAGAGAACGUGUAUUUUUUUUACACAUACAACAUAUUAAGAACGUGUCUUACCCGGAUUCGUCCCAAUUCAACCAUUUUAGAAAUCUUAACUUUAACAACUGAAAAUUACAACAGCAACUGUAUGUAUAUUUAGAUAAAUUAUUGAAGGUUGUCUGCAAUCAAAAUGUUGAAGUAAAGAGGAGAGACAGAGCAGGAGGUAGUGCUUUUGAAAAUUAAACUUCAUAAUUAAAAUCUGUGAAUACUGUAUUACCUGCCACGACAUGGAAAAAUUAGAAACGUGGACUCUGACAAAGAAGAUGUUAAAAAAUGCUAAAUACACAAAGAAGCACAGAGGAGCCUACGGUGUAUUUGGAAUUUCACUGAGAAAGAAGAACGCACGGAUCAGAGAACAAGUGCUAAUUUUAUACAUCAUGACUGUUGAGAAAAUACUUAGUGGUCCUAGGCAGGACACGUUACGAUAGGGGAUGAUGGCCUAUGGACGAGAUUGGUGAUGGAAUGUCAGCCAAAGUAGGGAACACACUGAAAAAGGAUGACCACCGCGGAUGUGGAGUGAUGAGACCAGCUUAUGUGCAGGAGCCAGAGGGAUUGAUUGUUGCAUUAUACAGGACGGUGAGGAUUGGUGACAAUUUUUCACGUUUCAAUUAAUUUAUUUUAAAGCAUUGAAAGACAAUACCAUUGAUUUUUUACACAACUGGAAAUAUUAUAUUAUAUAUUAACCUUGUAGUUUAUGUAGUUUAACUUUAUUAUGUGGACUGCCCUGCAGUCACAGUGUGUGCAAUGAGCGCAUAUACUGUACUGUUUACGUGUAGGAGGCAUGCAAUGCCCAAUAUAGUACAAUAUUUUAUCCAUGCAUUUUUAACAUUAUUCACUGCAAAUUUGGAAUGACAGAGCACUGCACGCAUGACUGUGUAUCUAUAAAAGAACUACAAUGUACAAAUUAUCAUAAUAAAAGUACACUUGAAACAAAACUUGCAUUCCCAUAUCCCUUAAAACGUUAAAAAUAAUUUGGCAGUACACAAUGGAGGGAACGCUUUAAAUGAACGCAAAUCCGAUUUAGCUGGCAGAUGGGCGAGUUUGCAUGAUUGUGAUCAGCGAUGGGAUUCGACAAACACGUUGGCUCUGCGUGCAUGCCUGGAUGAAUGUGUGGACUGACACAAACGUCAAGUUGAUAAGGUGAAAGAAAUUCAUAGCUGACAUUUCAUUACCUGACUGAAAGAGCAAAUAUUAUAAUAACUAAUAUUACAGUGUCUUCAUUAUGCUUACUAAUUCAAUAUCGUUAUCUUCAGUGUGCUCUAUUAAGCAUACAUUUACUGCUUUUAUAUAUAUUUGACGUUCCUGCUCUACUUUUAAAUAAUUUAAGUUGAUCGUAAGAUAACACAUUAUGAGAUGAAGCUAAAUUGCUGUAAUAUACGAGACCAGGAAUGUGUGUUUUCACUCAAAAAGACAUCAACCAGACUCAAAUCUUGAUUGCAACCGCACACACAGUACUGGAGUGUCCCAGGCAGAUCUACGGUUCAGAACCCUUCGAAGUUGUGUCUUUGUUAGGGAGCCACUCAUGGAAAAAUUAAACCUACGUGUAAUGGGGAGCAUUUUUUCCAGACGACAGUCAAUGUGGACUUCCCAAAAUGCGGUGCUUAUUUUAUCAACGCUACAGAAACCAUGAGCUGAGGCCGCUCCUGGGCAAGAUUUGGAGUCGCCACUUUCUGAAUGUGUCGAGAACUCCACCAAAGGGCCAUCCCUCCAGAAUUAUGGGCCGAGGUAAAGUUUUCCCUCGUUUGUGCGUGUAAAAUUCUGGUGCAUUUAAUAUAUUUUUUCUGCUUCGGCAUAGCUGGUUCGUGGUUGCACCCAGUUUUUGCCCGCACGCAUGCGCAUGCCUAGGCACAGGGGUCUUACACACACUUCACCGCUUUCGCUGAAGGGAGUCAGACUGACAUGUCCAGGAUUUUAUCGAAGGAACUUAAAAACAUUUCAGCUUUGUGGGCAGAUUCCAUUCCGCAUGAGGACAUUGAUAAAUAAGAACACAAAGCACGAUCGAAAUAUGAGAAAAAUACAAUAAUAACCAGAAUACACCGUCAACAAGUAUAUUUUCUAUGCUGUCAACACCAUGGCAUUUGGACUGUGGAGACUUACUCCAAGCUACUCUCGUCUCCUCCAGAACCAGGUCUCCGCCGGAGUGGAGAUGACAAAGCCUGCCGAGGUCCGUCUGAACCGUCUGGCCAUCCUGCUUGGCCUCCUGGGCAUCGGUGUGUCAUCUUAUGCAGCGCAGAAGAUGGUUCACCUUAAACGUGGGGCCGAUGUAAUGGACCGUGAUUAAGGAGAACACGUGCGACACUGCGAGGGACAAAAUGCUGUCCCUCAUGAUUCCAGACCUUACAUAAAGGAUCAUCAAGUCCAUGAUGUUGCUAGACCACCAACAAACACCUUGCAGAUCCCGCCAUGAAGGGACUUCAUCAAGAAUUCACCCAGAAGUCCCUCACUGCUUGGAUUGCCGUUUCCACAUCGUCCCGAGGGGCUUAAAUUUGGUUAUCAUCUUCCUGGGCGUGGUCUGGGAUAUUUUUUUUGUGGAGGCAGUCACAGGUAGAGUUGGACCAUCCAUGAAACCACACUCAACACCACCGGAAUGCUGGGAUUGAUGGUCGCCACUUAUUCUAUCUGACCCAUGUCCAUCUGUUCAUUUGCCCUCUCUGCCCAUGUCUCUCUCUCUGUCCAUAUCUCCCUCUUUCUGCCUACAACUCUAUCUGCCCAUGUCCAUUCCUUUUUCCAUCUCUCUGCCUAUCAAUUACCCUCUUCCAUUACGUUUAAGUUACAUAUUGUUCAUAUUACAGUCUGUAGAAUUAUGAGACCUCCUUUGCCAGAGACAAGAUAUAGGAAUAGGUUUUACCCUUUUAACUGGCACAAAAACUGACACCU